GAUGUUCAAAAUGGAGUCGGCUUCGUGACAGCGAGGCAUUGCAACGUGGCCGGAUGAUUAAAACCCAGAUAAUUGCGUGGUGUUUUUCGAUUUAGAACAUUUGUGUGCAUUUCCAGGAUCAUUGACAUCAAGGUGCCCAUUUCACGUUAAAUUCUUUAGAACAGGAUGUCAGCCAUCAUUGAAGAGCCCCAAACACAAUCAAAGCCUAAUGUUAUAGCAAGAGCGUAUAGACAUUUUAGUGAGCGUCAACAGUACUGGUUAGAUCGGGCCACACCCCACAACACAGGAAGAUGGGUUUUUUCAGUUGUCCUGGCAGCCCUGUAUCUACUCAGAGUCUAUCUUCUCCAGGGCUGGUAUAUAGUAACAUAUGCACUCGGCAUCUACCUGUUGAAUCUAUUUAUAGCUUUCCUUACACCAAAAAUAGAUCCUGCUCUUUUAGAUGACAAUGAUGAUGGUCCGUCAUUGCCAACGAAAGCAAAUGAAGAGUUUCGUCCUUUUAUGAGAAGAUUACCAGAAUUUAAAUUUUGGUACUCUGCUUCCAAGGCCAUAGUGGUGGCAAUGAUAUGUACAUUUUUUGAUGCACUUAACAUCCCUGUAUUCUGGCCCAUCCUCGUCAUGUAUUUCAUCAUUCUGUUCACCAUUACCAUGAAAAGGCAGAUAAAACAUAUGAUAAAAUAUAGGUAUCUGCCAUUCAGCCAUGGAAAAGCAAAAUACAAGGGCAAGGAAGAUUCUGGCAAAGUUGUCUCCAAUUAAAUACACCAGACAAUACAGGGAAGGACAUCGUUGGGUCAUCACCCCAUCGACUGUAGAGACCAUCGGUGCCAUGAUCUGUUCCAACAAAUGUGUACAGAACUUUUAACUGUUGUCAUAGUCAAAUGAAUUUGAUGUCCUGGAUGUUCUCAUGAGGAGAGUUUGAAAGUUGUACAUAGAGCUUGUGAGUUAUCUCCCCAGGGUACGUUGUAGUUACCCCCACUGUUCAUGUUAUGGAAUUGAAAUAA
rnacentral:misc_RNA from 1 species